GCCAGGAGGUACUAAUCGGUCGAGGGCUUGUCCUAAUGUGUAUAUUCUCUUGUUGCUUUAUUGCAACGCUCUUUGUUCAAUUUUCUGGGUACUAGCUUUUCCUCCCGGAAAAGCUCUCAAAGAGUGAAAUCACUUCGUGUUUUCAUUCUUCCGAAGCGCUGGGAGAAAAGGUGAUCCAGUGCAAGGGAGACUCCCAAUACUUUGGGAGGCAACCCAAUGGCCGGUGUUAAUGGCGAUGAGGAACCACCUGUUCCCAUACCGAACACAGAAGUUAAGCUCAUCCGCGCCGACAAUACUUGGCGGGCGACUGCCUGGGAAGAUAGGUCGAUGCCGGCA
rnacentral:rRNA from 1 species